CGGCUGGCUCUGGGGACGCGGCCGGGGUAACGUGUGGGGGGCAAGCGUUGUGUGGAAUCACGGGGGGUGAAGUGCGUGGAGGGGGUCAGGUGAGUGAGAGGUGAAAGGCCCCGGCUCACCCGGGGACCGGCAUCUCAGACUGCUUGGCUGGAGGACGGGAGAGGAUGUGGGAAUUCCUGGUGUAGCGGUGAAAUGCGUAGAUAUCAGGAGGAACACCGGUGGCGAAGGCGCACAUCUGGCCCGAUACUGACGCUGAGGCGCGAAAGCUAGGGGAGCAAACGGGAUUAGAUACCCGGUAGUC
rnacentral:rRNA from 1 species